UUAAAACACCGGUCCCCAUAUGAUCACCGAAGUUAAGCAACGUUUAGCCUGGUCAGUAUCUAGAUGGGUAACCACUUGGAUAUGCCAGAUGCU